AUUCAAAAACAAUUUCCCUAUGGAGAAUAUUAAUGGGAUUUAUUCUUCCAGAACUUGAUUGUUGAUCUCUAAUAGUCUAACUGUAGGCAGUCAUG